rfam:Lupinus angustifolius cultivar Tanjil contig_1835, whole genome shotgun sequence.
AGGUGUGCUCAUACCAACACUAAUGCACCGAAUACUUUCAGAACUCCGCAUAUAAGCAUGCUUGGGCGAGAGUAGAACUAGGAUGAGUGACCUCCUAUGAAUUCCUCGUGUUGCACCUC